rnacentral:rRNA from 1 species
AAAUUGAAGAGUUUGAUCAUGGCUCAGAUUGAACGCUGGCGGCAGGCCUAACACAUGCAAGUCGAACGGUAACAGGAAGCAGCUUGGCUGCUUUGCUGACGAGUGGCGGACGGGUGAGUAAUGUCUGGGAAACUGCCUGAUGGAGGGGGAUAACUACUGGAAACGGUGGCUAAUACCGCAUAA